UACAGAGGUCUCAAGCGUUGUUCGGAUUCAUUGGGCGUAAAGGGUGCGUAGGUGGCGCUGUAAGUCGGGUGUGAAAUUUCGGAGCUUAACUCCGAAACUGCAUUCGAUACUGCGGUGCUUGAGGACUGGAGAGGAGACUGGAAUUCCUGGUGUAGCGGUGGAAUGCGCAGAUAUCAGGAGGAACACCGGUGGCGAAGGCGGCUUUCUGGCUCGUAACUGACGCUGAGGCGCGAAAGCGUGGGGAGCAAACAGG
rnacentral:rRNA from 1 species